UUACGCUGUUAUCCCUAAGGUAAUUUAUCUUAUAAUCAUAAUAAAGGAUCAAAUAAACAUAAAUAAAUGAUAUAAAUCAUAUAUAAGUUUAAUUUAUUACAAUAUCACCCCAAUAAAAUAAUCCAAAAUAAAAAAUAAUUAAAAACAAAAAAAAAUAAUUCAGACUAUAAAAUUCUAUAGGGUCUUAUCGUCCCACAACAAAAUUUAAGCUUUUUAACUUAAAAAUUAAAUUCCAUAUUAAAUAAAUAAAGAUAGACCUUAUCUUGUCUAACCAUUCAUUCCAGCCUUCAAUUAAAAGACUAAUUAUUAUGCUACCUUCGCACGGUCAUAAUACCGCGGCCCUUAAAUAAUUUAUCAGUGGGCAGGCAUAUUAGAUACUACAUAAAAGGAUGUUUUUGUUAAACAGGCG
rnacentral:rRNA from 1 species